UCUGUGGUGGCAAGCUGACCGUGCUGCUCCGCGUCGUCUGGUUGGUACACCCCGCCGUCACCGCCACCCACACAUACACGCAGCUGGCCCUCUUAUCUCCUGCACCAGCUGCCACCACACACUAGCCUCCUCCUCUAGUACACUACAUCAUCCUUUAUAAUCCCUUGGGUAAACUUGACUCUAAAAAAAAAAUAUUAUUAUCGACAAGAAUCGGUUUUACGUGUCAGUGUUAUAUUACCCAAGGACGACAGAUAACGUCAACGCCACACACACACUCGAGUCCGUGGUUGAUGGUGUAAACCAGAGUGUUUGGGGUAACGAGUGAGGCAACUGAGAGGAAAAUAACCAGUGAUAGCCAAAAGGGAUAUAACGAGUGUGAUAACUGAGAGGAAGUCAAGAGGCGAUAGUGGUAGUGGUGCAACCUGGUCAAGCUUCCAGUGAAUGAUCACCGUGGCCUAGCUCACAACCCCACCGGUCCUCUUCUGCCCCCUCGUCUACAGUACCUCUCUUCUGUAUCAUCAACCAUUUCGUCCGUCUAUUGCCAUAUCUCUUUCUGUCUCUCUGUUACCUAGUGUUUCUCCACUAUAGGUUUGGUUCUCUUUCGUCUGAGAUCUCUUUGUCUUUUCUCAUUUUCUGGCGUUGAUUAGUCAUCGUUCUCUUACGCAUUGUGCUGCCUUGUGCCCUUCAUCCACACACAUUAUGCUUGCUGGUUGAUACCUCUAAAUUCGUGGAUGUGUAAUUAUUUAUACUUUUCAUGUGUGUAGUUACAUAUAUACCUGUGUGGUGAUCUUUACAGUAUAUACCCAUGUGGUGAGGAUCUGUCAAUAUACCUGCCUGGUGUUUACCUCUGUAUACUUGCGGGAGUUUUAACAUUCAGCGGUUUCUUCCCGCUGCACCCAAAAGGUUGCAGUGGGGGCCUGGUGACCGGUCCCGCCCCUCCCUCCACACACACUCCUCUC